rnacentral:rRNA from 1 species
CAGGGGAAUAGCCCAGGGAAACUUGGAUUAAUGCCCCAUGGUACCGCGACAUCGCAUGAUGUUGUGGUUAAAGAUUUAUCGGACAGGGAUGGCCAUGCGUACCAUUAGUUAGUUGGUGGGGUAACGGCUUACCAAGGCAACGAUGGUUAGGGGCCCUGAGAGGGGGAUCCCCCACACUGGUACUGAGACACGGACCAGACUCCUACGGGAGGCAGCAGUGAGGAAUAUUGGACAAUGGGCGGGAGCCUGAUCCAGCCAUGCCGCGUGCAGGAUGACGGCCCUAUGGGUUGUAAACUGCUUUUAUACGGGAAGAAACGCACCCACGUGUGGGUGUCUGACGGUACCGUAAGAAUAAGGACCGGCUAACUCCGUGCCAGCAGCCGCGGUAAUACGGAGGGUCCGAGCGUUAUCCGGAAUCAUUGGGUUUAAAGGGUCCGUA